UUUAUAAAAAAGGUGUGUGCAUGUGUGAUGCACGAGUGAAGAUGAGUUCGGUGGUGUUCUUCGUGAUGCUCUUGGUUGCGGCGGCGGUGAGCGGCGGGCCGGCGUGGAAAGACCAGAGUGUGCAACGCGGCGGAGGCAUCAAACUAGGAGGCGGAGGCGGUGACCAAACCGCCGGAUCUUCAUCAAGUGGGACUCAACGCGGCAGCGGGUUGCGUCUCGGCGUUGGCACUCGGGGUUCCACACGCACAACAACGACAACUGCUGCGCCGGAUGACGAGGAACAAAUUCAAACACCUUCGGCACCGACCGCCUACGGCCUGCCGCGUCUUCACGUCGGGAUGGUUGUACCCUAUAAGUCGUUUGGUACUCGUGAAUACACCAAAGCAGUCACAUCCGCAAAAUAUGCUCUGCAGAGAAAGUUUCCGAUGCUUUUCAAAAAAUACGAUCUGCAUGUGCAUAUUGUCAUGAAGGAGAUGACACCAAGUCCAACAGCAAUUCUAAAAUCGCUCUGCCAAGAGUUUCUAUCCUUCAACGUGUCCGCCAUCUUGUACCUGAUGAACUACGAACAAUACGGACGCAGCACUGCAUCUGCUCAGUACUUCCUGCAAUUGGCAGGUUACCUAGGCAUACCGGUGAUAGCGUGGAACGCUGAUAAUUCCGGUCUGGAAAGACGCGCUUCUCAAUCUUCACUGCAACUGCAACUAGCGCCAUCUUUAGAACAUCAAACCGCAGCCAUGUUGAGCAUCUUAGAACGCUACAAAUGGCAUCAAUUCUCCGUCGUUACAAGCCUCAUCGCCGGUCACGAUGACUUCAUCCAAGCUGUGCGUGAACGCGUUUCAGCAAUGCAGGAUCGUUUUAAAUUUACGAUUCUAAACGCGGUGCUGGUGGCGAAGAACGGCGACCUGGCUGCGUUGGUCGACAGCGAGGCGAGAGUGAUGUUGCUGUACUGCACACGUGAGGAGGCCAUCGACAUUCUCACCGCCGCCAGGGAUUUUAAGCUCACCGGCGAAAACUACGUGUGGGUGGUGACGCAGAGCGUAAUCGAGAAUCCCCUUCAAGCGCCAAAUCAAUUUCCCAUCGGUAUGCUAGGUGUACAUUUUGACACAUCUAGUUCAAGCCUCGUAAACGAGAUAACAACUGCUAUCAAAGUGUACGCCUACGGCGUCGAAGACUACACCAACGAUCCGAAGAAUCAUGGACGAUCGUUGAACACACAAUUGAGUUGCGAGGGUGCUGGUGCAGCACGAUGGGACACCGGCGAUCGCUUCUACAAAUAUCUGCGCAAUGUCAGCGUGGAAGCUGAUACCGGAAAGCCGAACGUCGAAUUCACUCAGGACGGCGUUUUGAGGGCGUCGGAGUUGAAAAUCAUGAAUUUACGCCCAGGCGUAAGCAAACAACUCGUCUGGGAAGAGAUCGGUGCUUGGAAAUCGUGGCAGCGAGAAGGACUCGACAUCAAGGACAUUGUCUGGCCUGGCAAUAGCCACACGCCGCCGCAGGGCGUUCCCGAGAAAUUCCACCUGAAGAUCACUUUUCUCGAGGAGCCGCCGUACAUCAAUCUUGCGCCGCCCGAUCCUGUCACCGGCAAGUGCACCAUGGAUCGAGGCGUCCUCUGUCGGGUAGCUACGGAUAAAGAAAUCAAGGAGGUGGAUAUGUCACAGGCGCACCGCAAUGAAAGUUUCUACCAGUGUUGCUCGGGUUUCUGCAUCGAUCUCCUGGAGAAGUUCUCCGAGGAGCUGGGUUUUACCUAUGAACUGGUGCGUGUUGAAGAUGGCCGCUGGGGCACCAAUACAAAUGGGAAGUGGAACGGUCUCAUCGCGGAUUUGGUCAAUCGCAAAACGGAUAUGGUGAUGACUUCGCUAAUGAUCAACUCGGAACGCGAAGCAGUCGUUGAUUUCAGCGUUCCUUUCAUGGAAACAGGCAUUGCCAUUGUAGUUGCUAAGCGAACUGGCAUUAUUUCGCCGACUGCUUUUCUGGAACCUUUUGACGCCGCUUCUUGGAUGUUGGUCGGCAUUGUGGCCAUCCAGGCAGCGACCUUUAUGAUUUUCCUCUUCGAAUGGCUCUCACCCAGUGGAUUCGACAUGAAACUGUCGUUAAAUCAGAAUACGCCAUCGGCAUCACAUCGGUUUUCACUCUUCCGGACCUAUUGGCUGGUGUGGGCUGUUCUCUUUCAAGCCGCUGUACAUGUUGACUCGCCACGUGGUUUCACUGCACGGUUCAUGACUAACGUGUGGGCCAUGUUUGCUGUCGUCUUUCUUGCCAUCUACACUGCCAACCUCGCCGCGUUCAUGAUCACCAGAGAAGAGUAUUUUGAGUUCUCAGGUGUGGACGAUAGUCGUUUAUCUCGGCCGUUUUCACAUAAACCGUUAAUAAAAUUCGGUACAAUCCCCUGGUCACAUACGGAUUCAACCAUUUCGAAGUAUUUCAAAGAAAUGCACAACUAUAUGAGCAAAUACAACAAGACCACAGUUGUAAAAGGUGUUGAUGCUGUUCUUACUGGUGAAAUGGAUGCGUUUAUCUAUGAUGGCACCGUCCUAGACUACCUCACCGCACAGGACGAGGACUGCCGUUUGCUCACAGUGGGCUCAUGGUAUGCCAUGACCGGAUACGGGCUUGCUUUCCCUCGAAAUUCCAAAUACAUCAAGAUGUUCAACAAAAAGAUGCUUGACUUUCGAGAAAACGGCGACCUUGAACGCCUGCGUCGUUACUGGAUGACCGGCACAUGUAAACCGGGUGCUAGGGAAGUUAAAACAUCCGACCCGCUCGCCCUGGAACAAUUCUUGUCCGCUUUCCUGCUUUUAAUGGCGGGUAUACUCUUGGCUGCGUUGUUGCUACUCUUGGAACAGCUAUAUUUCAAAUACGUGAGGAAACACCUAGCGAAAACAGACCGAGGAGGGUGUUGCGCGCUGAUAAGUUUAUCGAUGGGGAAAAGUUUGACUUUCCGUGGGGCGGUUUUUGAGGCGCAGGAUAUUUUGAGGAAUCAUCGAUGUCGCGAUCCGAUUUGCGACACGCACCUGUGGAAGGUCAAGAGGGAGCUGGAUAUUUCGCAGAUGCGUUGUAAACAGCUGGAAAAGGAGCUGGAGUCGCACGGGCUGAAACCACCGCCAGCUUGUAAACGUGAUUUUCAUCUCUCCACCGGGAACAUUUUCUCAACCCCUCUGCGAGAUGUUUAAAUAUGAAACGCGACAUAUCGUGCCAAGUGCCGACAUAAACACUCCGAAACACAGCGACGUAUUCGACAAUCUCAUCGCACAUCCUCGCGCAGUACUUACUUCUUCCGGUCGCUGUUCUACGCUCAAAGGACUACAAAAUUUAUACUCGUUAUCUUGUGUAUGAACCUGAAGAAUGAAGAACUCAUUCUUUGUGCAAGCGUGUGUACCUACACCUACUCGUCGAUCAUGCUUGUAAUAAGAAAAUGUAGAAACCGGAUGUAAACUGAAAAAGGGAUGUGAAGAACACAGCGAGUACAUGAGUAGACGCGUAAUCAUGUCGUCUAAAUGCAUUAAACUCUCCUCUCUUAAAUCUACCUCGAGAAGAAGUGAAUGUAGGUACCUAACUAAAGAAGAGAAAAAAAAACGCCGGAAAAGAAAUGCGGAAAAACGGAAAAAUCAAGCCGGAUGUGGAUGUGGAAUAGAAAUGGAAGCGGAUUAUUGCACUUACCGGCCGGCGAGAUGCGUCUUUCAUGUCGGGGGGAAAUUCACUUGACCUUAAAGUGACCUUCGUGCGUUUGUUUUUUUUAACGAUACGAAAGGUAAACCUUCGGUGCGAUGCAGGACUCAAUUUUUGAAAGGUUAAACAAGUUAUCCGGAGACUUGAGAGUUCACAUAUUGCGGGAUAUUUCGAUUAGGUUCGUUUUAUCUCGCAUUAUUGCGUUUUUUUUUUCUCUCCUAAGAUGAGAAUAACCCUCACAAGUUGGAAGGAUGAUCUAAUGUGGAUAUCGAUACGAAAGGACGGCGGAUAAUAAAAAAAUGUGCGAUAAGGUUUGGGUUUUUCAUAAAAAUGUGAACAGCCCGAUUGUCAAGGGAGUUCAACGAGGGUAAAAAAGCAUUGAUUCGGUUAAAACGACGAUUUCCAAGAACAAGAUCAAAACGAGAUGAAACAAACAAGAUUUUAUUGUUGGAGAUUUUUUUAUAUUUAAAAAUUGAAAGGAAGACUGAAUUUUAAAAGAAAUUAAUUAAUCACAUUUACGAACAAAGCAGGUUUUGUUAAUUGAUGUCUUACUAUGAGUUGAAUAAUUAAUUAUUGACUCUACAGUCACAAAUGAAACAAGAAACAAUUCCAUUGCCACACAAAUUUGAUUUGAUUUAACAAUGUCGCAUUCAAUUAUUGACAUGCAGCUCUCAAGCUACACUCGCAGGACUCGGUGUAUUUGCUCGCUUCGGCUUUCUAUUCGCUGCUGCUGCUGCCGCACCCCAGCCGCCGCUGCAGUAUCUAAUUAGCGUGUUGUAUAAUUGCAGCGUCAUCGUGUCUGGCGAGCAGGCGCGCGCGCGUCUUCGCGGCCUCGCCUCCGACAACGUCGGCAGCACCGACGAUCUUAAACAGCGAACGGAGAUAGCGGAAAUGGAGACAGUGCUGUGAUGGAGCCCGAUAGUUUCUCGCGACGCGGUGGUCGCAUCGACAAAGUGCAGCAGCACCAACUCGAUGGUAGACGUGGUGCGGUUGCGUGCCAGUACGACACCGACGUCGCCAUCGACGUUGAGCGCACCAGGCGACGGUUUCGGUGAGUUAGGCACAGGUGCAAAAUCAGCGCCGGCGUCACCACGCCAUCGUAAACCACAGGCGGUCGCGCCUGCUGAAACGGUGACGACGGCGGCGGCGAUGCACCGCCUACGCUUACGCAUUGGGCGCAAACUUGCCACCGAAAGUUACCAUCACUACUACGACGUCGAUAACUACUAUCUACGCGACAAGCGGCGCGACGUCCGCCUGCCGCCGAUCGAGAAACUCUUCUGACUGACGCUCGCACGCUAGUGUCACGCCACACGCAAGAACACCAUCGAACACACGCACCCCGAUAGACAUAAACUAUGCCUAAUCAGUUUUAUCACGAAACAGACUGUAAAUAUCACUAAAUAAUAACCGUAAACUCAUGAAAACGUUCAUGGGGGAAAUUGACCGUUAAGAACAAGUUAAGUACUUUAUUUAAUUUCCAGCAGAUGGCGUUAUUUGAUGAUUUUCUGACGAUUAUAGCAUACAUCGUAAAUAUCGGCCGUGUCAUAACCAUAAAUGUGUACCGUACUUUACUUUCUUUUUAGUUGCUACGUGAAAUUGCAAAACUUCGUUGUUUUUUUUUGCUUUUAUUGCAACUAGGCUCAAGAUUUUAUUACACCUUCAUAAAUUUAUUACGUAGAAGAAAGUUUGAAGGCAAAUAAUGAAUAACAAGCAGUAAUAAAAGCGUGUGACGCCAUCUGUAUAUUUGAAUUUCAAAUUAAACGACAUUAAUAAUAAUGAUGACAAAAGUUUCAGCUGUGUUUAACGAACCAUAGGGAACUCAAUAAAUUAAACUUAUGACCCGCCACAAAACGGUUUGCCAAAUAGUUUCAUAGUCGAAACAAUUGCCAAACAAAUGAUAUAAGUAAAACAUAACCCCUCAUAGAGAUUACAAAUGAGGAAAAAAUCUAUGAUAUACAUAUAAAUACCAUAUACGUUUAUACAUAUUGUUGUUGCUAUAAAAUAAAAUAACAAAAAGAAAGCAAAACGAAAAACCCAAGCCAAAAAAAUGAAGAUAAUGAUGAGAAAAUGAUAAGACAUACACUGUUGUUGCUGUUUGUUAUAUAAUUGUUGAUGUUAUUCACUGCGCGCGCGCUCAUUAAACGCAUGCCAAAAACAACUAAAACACGUCGGAAAUAAUCCUGUAAGCUAACCUAAAAUAUACUCAAAACAUAAG